GCACAACAAGCUGAUGUGCAACUAAUCAAUCGCCUAUCUACUGGGAGUAAUAAUCAAGGUGGAGCAAUUGAAGAAAGGGAAGAUGGAGAUUGUGACGAUCUAGACCUUACUUAAGAACUUUGAAUUGUUGUCCAUGUUCUAGGAAUCUUUUGUUAUCAACGUUUGAAACUUACUCUAACUCUUGAAGUGUUGAAAUGUAAAACUUAUGUGAUAUUGGGUUAAAAUAUUUUUGUUUUAUG